rnacentral:rRNA from 1 species
GACGAACGCUGGCGGCGUGCUUAACACAUGCAAGUCGAACGGAAAGGCUCCAGCUUGCUGGAGUACUCGAGUGGCGAACGGGUGAGUAACACGUGGGUAAUCUGCCCUGCACUCUGGGAUAAGCCUGGGAAACUGGGUCUAAUACUGGAGAUGACCUUUCGCCUUAUGGGGUUCGGUGGAAAGUUUUUCGGUUUUGGAUGAGCCCGCGGCCUAUCAGCUUGUUGGUGGGGUGUUGGCCUACCAAGGCGACGACGGGUAGCCGGCCUGAGAGGGCGAUCGGCCUCCAGGGGACUGAGAUACGGCCCAGACUCCUACGGGAGGCAGCGGGGGGGAAUAUUGCACAAUGGGCGGAAGCCUGAUGCAGCGACGCCGCGUGCGGGAUGACGGCCUUCGGGUUGUAAACCUCUUUCAGCAGAGACGAAGCGUAAGUGACGGUACCUGCAGAAGAAGCACCGGCUAACUACGUG